rnacentral:ncRNA from 1 species
GUUAAACAAGAUCGGAGAGAUCCGAGACAUACACCUGUCCCUAUCUACUAUCUAGCGAAACCACAGCCAAGGGAACGGGCUUGGAAUAAUUAGCGGGGAAAGAAGACCCUUUUGAGCUUGACUCUAAUCUGGCAGUGUAAGGAGACAUAAGAGGUGUAGAAUAAGUGGGAGAUAUUAGACUUCGGUUUGGUAUCGCCAAUGAAAUACCACUACUCUUAUUGUUUCCUUACUUACUUGAUUAAAUGGAACGUGUAUCAUUUCCUAGCCAUUAUACGGAUAUAUUUAUUAUAUCUUAUGGUAUUGGGUUUUGAUGCAAGCUUCUUGAUCAAAGUAUCACGAGUUUGUUAUAUAAUCGCAAACAAAUUCUUUAAUGAGAGAUGCAUUUACUGUAUUAUUGAUUUGAAAAUUUGGUAUAACUCCAAUUACUCAGGUAUGAUCCAAUUCAAGGACAUUGCCAGGUAGGGAGUUUGACUGGGGCGGUACAUCUCUCAAAUAAUAACGGAGGUGUCCCAAGGCCAGCUCAGUGCGGACAGAAACCACACAUAGAGCAAAAGGGCAAAUGCUGACUUGAUCUCGGUGUUCAGUACACACAGGGACAGCAAAAGCUCGGCCUAUCGAUCCUUUUGGUUUAAAGAG